rnacentral:rRNA from 1 species
CCAAAACGAUGAACGCGUCGACAGCAGCUGUACUUACUUGGCGCUGGCCCACAUUUUGAAGUUCUGGCGUGGCUGGAACACCUCCUUAAGCCGAAUUCCAGCACACUGGCGGCCGUUACUAGUGGAUCCGAGCUCGGUACCAAGCUUGGCGUAAUCAUGGUCAUAGCUGUUUCCUGUGUGAAAUUGUUAUCCGCUAA